ACUACAAGGAUUCCCCUAGUAACGGCGAGUGAAGCGGGAAGAGCUCAAAUUUGAAAUCUGGCGGCUCACGGCCGUCCGAGUUGUAGUCUAGAGAGGCGUUAUCCGCGACGGACCACGUACAAGUCCUUUGGGAUGCGGCGUCAUAGAGGGUGAGAAUCCCGUCCAUGACGUGGACUACCGUCGCUUUGCGUUGCGCCUUCGAAGAGUCGAGUUGUUUGGGAAUGCAGCUCAAAACGGGUGGUAAAUUCCAUCUAAAGCUAAAUACAGGCGAGAGACCGAUAGCGAACAAGUACCGUGAGGGAAAGAUGAAAAGAACUUUGGAAAGAGAGUUAAACAGUACGUGAAAUUGCUGAAAGGGAAACGCUUGGAGUCAGUCGCGUCCUCGAGGAUUCAGCCCGGCUUUUGUCGGGUGCACUUCCUCUGGGGACGGGCCAGCAUCAGUUUCGAGCGUCGAAGAAUGGCGGGAGGAAUGUGGCACCUUCGGGUGUGUUAUAGCCUCCUGUCGGACGCGACGCUCGGGACUGAGGACCGCUUUGAUAGGAUGCUGGCGUAAUGGCUUUAAACGACCCGUCUUGAAACACGGACCAAGGAGUCUAACAUGCUCGCGAGUGUUUGGGUGGAAAACCCUUGCGCGUAAUGAAAGUGAAAAGUUUGGGACCGCGGCGACGCGGGCACCGACGCCCGACCCUGACGUUCUCCGGACGGG
rnacentral:rRNA from 1 species